AUUUCAGUGAUUUCUAGAACUACUUCUCAUUCUAACCCACUUGCCUGAAAGCAGCUUUAAAUAUGACUCAAAAUCCUCUGGGGCCCUAGAAGGAAAAAGGCAGAAGGUGGUUAAAUGGCUUGCCCAGAGAUGCCUGGCUAGUAAACAUCUGAAAUGAGUUUGGAGCCUGAGAAUACUGAAAAGUCCUGGAAAGUAUGAAAGUGCUAGCAAAAAGCACUAAUCAUCUAUUAAUAUGGUUGCAGAAGGAUCAGACCUAUAUAAGGAAAGUGUUGGUAUCACCUAGGGAAACACCCCACCACCAUCCGAGAAAAUGGAUCUUACUUGGAAUGUAUUUAGAUUCUGCUCAAUGGAUAAAAUAGAAGCCUAAUUAGAAACCUUGCAAAAUUUUUGCAUUCCAAAAACUUAAAUGUUAGUUUCCCAGUUGAUUUUACUACUAGUAAUAGAUUAUUGAAUUCUAUUCUAAUCAUUUUGUAAUUCUUUAUUGUUUUUUUCUGUGGAAAAAUAAAAUACUUGUUCUAUACCUGU
rnacentral:lncRNA from 1 species